AUUGAACGCUGGCGGCAGGCCUAACACAUGCAAGUCGAGCGGAUGAAGGGAGCUUGCUCCUGGAUUCAGCGGCGGACGGGUGAGUAAUGCCUAGGAAUCUGCCUGGUAGUGGGGGAUAACGUCCGGAAACGGGCGCUAAUACCGCAUACGUCCUGAGGGAGAAAGUGGGGGAUCUUCGGACCUCUCGCUAUCAGAUGAGCCUAGGUCGGAUUAGCUAGUUGGUGGGGUAAAGGCCUACCAAGGCGACGAUCCGUAACUGGUCUGAGAGGAUGAUCAGUCACACUGGAACUGAGACACGGUCCAGACACCUACGGGAGGCAGCAGUGGGGAGUAUUGGACAAUGGGCGAAAGCCUGAUCCAGCCAUGCCGCGUGUGUGAAGAAGGUCUUCGGAUUGUAAAGCACUUUAAGUUGGGAGGAAGGUCAGUAGUUAAUACCUUGCUGUUUUGACGUUACCAACAGAAUAAGCACCGGCUAACUUCGUG
rnacentral:rRNA from 1 species